rnacentral:rRNA from 1 species
CACGUAGGGCGCAAGCGUUGUCCGGAAUUAUUGGGCGUAAAGAGCUCGUAGGUGGUUUGUUACGUCCGCUGUGAAAUCCUAGGGCUUAACCCUGGGCUUGCAGUGGAUACGGGCAGACUAGAGGUAGGUAGGGGAGAAUGGAAUUCCUGGUGUAGCGGUGAAAUGCGCAGAUAUCAGGAGGAACACCGGUGGUGUAGACGGCUCUCUGGACCAUAACUGACGCUGAGACACGAAAGCGUGGGUAGCAAACAGG